ACGCUCAUUUUUGGCAGCACAUAUACUAAAAUUGGAAUGCUACAGAGAUUAGCAUGGCCCCUGCGCAAGGAUGACACGCAAACACAUGAAGCAUUCCAUAUUUAU
ensembl:snRNA U6 U6 spliceosomal RNA